rnacentral:rRNA from 1 species
UACAGAGGUCUCAAGCGUUGUUCGGAUUCAUUGGGCGUAAAGGGUGCGUAGGCGGCGCGGUAAGUCGGGUGUGAAAUCUCGGAGCUUAACUCCGAAACUGCAUUCGAUACUGCCGUGCUUGAGGACUGGAGAGGAGACUGGAAUUUACGGUGUAGCGGUGAAAUGCGUAGAUAUCUGGAGGAAUACCGGUGGCGAAGGCGGCAUCCUGGACCGGCAUUGACGCUGAAGCGCGAAAGCUAGGGGAGCAAACGGG